GACGAACGCUGGCGGCGUGCUUAACACAUGCAAGUCGAACGGAAAGGCCCUGCUUUUGUGGGGUGCUCGAGUGGCGAACGGGUGAGUAACACGUGAGUAACCUGCCCUUGACUUUGGGAUAACUUCAGGAAACUGGGGCUAAUACCGGAUAGGAGCUCCUGCUGCAUGGUGGGGGUUGGAAAGUUUCGGCGGUUGGGGAUGGACUCGCGGCUUAUCAGCUUGUUGGUGGGGUAGUGGCUUACCAAGGCUUUGACGGGUAGCCGGCCUGAGAGGGUGACCGGCAACAUUGGGACUGAGAUACGGCCCAGACUGCUACGGGAGGCAGGAGUGGGGAAUAUUGCACAAUGGGCGGAAGCCUGAUGCAGCAACGCCGCGUGCGGGAUGACGGCCUUCGGGUUGUAAACCGAUUUCGCCUGUGACGAAGAGUGAGUGACGGUAAUGGGUAAAGAAGCACCGGCUAACUACGUG
rnacentral:rRNA from 1 species